rnacentral:rRNA from 1 species
GAUGAACGCUGGCGGCGUGCCUAAUACAUGCAAGUCGAGCGAACAGAUGAGGAGCUUGCUCCUCUGACGUUAGCGGCGGACGGGUGAGUAACACGUGGAUAACCUACCUAUAAGACUGGGAUAACUUCGGGAAACCGGCGCUAAUACCGGAUAAUCUAUUGAACCGCAUGGUUCAAUAGUGAAAGACGGUUUUGCUGUCACUUAUAGAUGGAUCCGCGCCGCAUUAGCUAGUUGGUAAGGUAACGGCUUACCAAGGCGACGAUGCGUAGCCGACCUGAGAGGGUGAUCGGCCACACUGGAGCUGAGACACGGUCCAGACUCCUACGGGAGGCAGCAGUAGGGAAUCUUCCGCAAUGGGCGAAAGCCUGACGGAGCAACGCCGCGUGAGUGAUGAAGGUCUUCGGAUCGUAAAACUCUGUUAUUAGGGAAGAACAAAUGUGUAAGUAACUAUGCACGUCUUGACGGUACCUAAUCAGAAAGCCACGGCUAACUACGUG